GUGGAAGUGGGGAUCCAACGGAGAACAGAUGGCCACAGUGAUCUUGUUUUGGCCCAUGAUGAUGUAGAUGAUGAGGUUGAUGCUGCGGUGGUAGCAGCAGCAGAUGAUCCUAGCUCUUCGGCCAUUUUCGAUAUUGAGCUAGAUACCCGCAGGCGAAGCGAGUUCAUAUAAACUAUUUUGUCGCUUUUUGAUGCAAAAUG
rnacentral:misc_RNA from 1 species